rnacentral:rRNA from 1 species
CCGGCGACCGGCGCACGGGUGAGUAACACGUAUGCAACCUGCCCGUGGCAGGGGGAUAAGCGGGGGAAACCCCGUCUAAUACCGCGUAACGCGGCCUUGGGGCAUCCCAAGGCCGCCAAAGGGAGCAAUCCCGGCCACGGAUGGGCAUGCGGCGCAUUAGCUAGUCGGCGGGGUAACGGCCCACCGAGGCGACGAUGCGUAGAGGUUCUGAGAGGAAGGCCCCCCACACUGGUACUGAGACACGGACCAGACUCCUACGGAAGGCAGCAG